rnacentral:rRNA from 1 species
UACGAAGGGGGCUAGCGUUGUUCGGAAUCACUGGGCGUAAAGGGCGCGUAGGCGGCUUUGUAAGUCGGGGGUGAAAGCCUGUGGCUCAACCACAGAAUUGCCUUCGAUACUGCAUGGCUUGAGACCGGAAGAGGUUAGUGGAACUGCGAGUGUAGAGGUGAAAAUUCGUAGAUAUUCGCAAGAACACCAGUGGCGAAGGCGGCUGACUGGUCCGGUUCUGACGCUGAGGCGCGAAAGCGUGGGGAGCAAACAGG